UUACGGACAUAUCAACUUGAAACACAUGUUCUCAUAAGAUCACCGAAGUUAAGCAACUCCGAGCCUGUUCAGUACUUAAAUGGUUGACCGAUUGGCAAUGGCAGAUGCUA